UGUUAUUAUGGGUGUUUUGUAUAAAGGAGGAGCUUGAUUAAUGUAGAAUAAUAAACUUGUUGUUUGUGGAAUUUGAAUCUUACUUAUACAUGCUUCAUUGUUAUGCCGCUCCAUGCAGCUAUAAUGCAGAGGAACUGGAUAUUGAAUCUUUAAGGACCUCCCAGCUACAAACUCGUCUUCUACAAUCAAGGCAAGUAGUGUCUAGAUAACGAGAUAACAUUCAAUGAAACAAUAAUCGAGGAAAGAGAGCAAGGAAUUAGAGAAAUUCAAGAACAGAUUGGUGAAGUGAAUGAAAUCUUCAAAGAUCUAGCUGUUUUAGUGAAUGGUCAAGGAGUUAUGAUCGAUGACAUCAGCUCUAACAUUGAUAACUCGCAAGCUGCAACUGCACAGGCCACUUCUCAACUCAGAAAAGCAUCUAAAACUCAAAGAGCAAACUCAUCUUUGACAUGCCUUCUUAUUCUCAUUUUUGGGAUUGUUCUACUCAUUACCAUCAUCGUUGUAUUGGUCUGAGCAUCAAACUCCUCCAGUCUUCAUUUUUCAAGCAUGAAACGAAGACUUGAGUCAAGGAAGCUAUACAAAUUACCCAUUAAAGAAAUAUCUACUGUACAGAUUCUUUUUACUCCAUCGUCAUUCACAUGUAAUCAAAUCGAACCUCAACUUCUCAUCGUGUGAAUCCUUUAUAUAGUAAUCCAUCUUACCAUUAGUGAUACGGAUGAUGUUUUCACUCAAAAGUAACAUGUAUUAGAAACAAAGGCAGAGCAAAAUAUCCACUCUAAGAUUUGAUUAUUCA